UCCCUCCCUCUUUUGAGGUCUACACAUUUCAGGAAAGUGAUCCUAGAAGAAACUGAAGCGCCAGCAGUGCGAAUAUCUAGAGACACCUACGUGACUCAUGUGUGGAAGAAGAAGAGGGAGCAAUGAUCCCAGGAUGUAAACACUGCGAAACUGAGGUCCAUAACCACAGAGUGACUUCUGCAGACUUCAAGCUAAGCAGCAACUAUGAGUAUCCUUUUCACAGCUGAUUUCCAGUGACUGAUGAAUGCAUUGUACCCACAAAGAUGUGUUAAAUCAAUGCUCUUGAGAGAAUGGAAG